rnacentral:lncRNA from 1 species
CAAAAAGAUCAGUUCGAUCUGCACGACCUAUAUCAGUCCCAUCUACAACUCCU